rnacentral:rRNA from 1 species
UACGGGGGGGGCAAGCGUUGUUCGGAAUUACUGGGCGUAAAGGGCGCGUAGGCGGCCUUCUAAGUCGGACGUGAAAUCCCUCGGCUUAACCGAGGAACUGCGUCCGAGACUGAAAGGCUUGAAUCCGGGAGAGGGAUAUGGAAUUCCAGGUGUAGCGGUGAAAUGCGCAGAUAUCGGGAGGAACACCAAUUGCGAAGGCAGCUUGCUGGGACGAUACUGACGCUGAGGCGCGAAAGCGUGGGGAGCAAACAGG